ACAGCAACAAUUGCUCUGAGUGAUAUUAAUGACAAUCCACCAACCUUCAUGAAAUCAUCUUAUAAUGUCACUGUGCAAGAAGAUGAAAGUGAAAAACUUUUACUUCGAAUUCCUGUUCAAGAUAAAGAUUUGAUAAACACAUCGAACUGGAUGUCAAAGUUUGUCAUUA